CACGUGUAUAGAUCUUUGCCAUUUUUACUUUAUAAGCUUAAAGUGAACAGUUCCUUCUAUUCUUUUAAUAAUAUUUAAUUUAUAUCAAAAUCAAGAUUGUUUUAUUUUACUAUCGUUUUUAAUAUUUUAAUAUUAUGUGUUUAAUCAUGAAAGUGGAUUAAAAUGCAAGAAUACAAGAACAACAGAACUUUGAGAAGAUGAAUCUCUGCAGAAGUAAUUAAUCACAACUUGAAACUAUUUUAAGUGAUUUAAAUAUUUCUCCACUUUGGAGGAAAAAGUUCGAUAAAAGAGUAAUCGAGGAAUAAUUGCAUGUACAAUAUUCUUCUCAAAAAGAACGAAACAUUAAAGAACAAUUGAAAUUAUCAAAUUUUUGUCCAAAAAUAAAUUUAAAGAUAAAUUUAUCAAAAAAAAAAUUCAAAAAGUACAAUUAGACAAUUAACAAAAUAAUCCUGCUGUGUUCUCCAAAAAAUAUUUUGAGAUUGUUACAUGAAAAUAUAUGAUAUUCAAUGGAAUCGAAAAAGUAUCCACGUUGAAUUUAACUUGAGAAGAAAGAAGAAUAUAAUUGUCAUCGAUUUCGAAUAUUUUUUCAAAAUAUAAAUAUAAAUGUUUAAAAUGUUUAAAAUGAUAGAAGAGAAAUAUUUAUCAAAAUGGAAGAGAAAAAAAAGAGAGAUACUCUGGAUAUGGAAAAAAUAAAAAGUAGAAAAUGCAGGUAAUUUUUUCGAAGUAUUCAAAAUAUUUGGAGUAAAAGAAAGAAGAAGAAGAAGAAUGUCAGAUGAAGAAUAGAGAAAAGGAAGAAAAAGAGAUAAGAUAAAGAAAAAUUAUCAAAAAUGAAACGAACAAAUUUUCUUUCUUUCUUUUCGAUUUAUCUUUUCCAAGAAUAAUAGAACAAGCAGAAUAUCCCUUUUACGAUUUUAUAAAUUUAAUAGUAAUACGUAGACAUUUGUAGAUUGAUUUUCUGUUUCUAGUCAAUCUCUAUUAAGAAUCGUAAAGAAACGAUUUGAAAGUUUUCAUCUUCGCAAUUGACAAGGCAAACAAUGCUGUAUCGAAAAAUAUCACGAAAAUGAAUUAAGUGAUAUCCAAAAAUGGAGAAAUAAUUCGAAAUGUAGAUUCUUUAAUUAACAAGAAUAAAUAAUGCGACAUUGAAAAAUAGAAAUUAGGAGAAAUAUCCAUGAAAAAAAGUAAUAAAACAUAAUGGACAAUUAACAACCAGCGCAAUUUAAAAGAUUCAAAGCAUCUUUUUUGACUUCGAAGAAGAUCCCCAAGCUAUCAUCGAGAACUUGAUGACAAUUUUUCGAAAACAAGACAUCAACAUUAUAGAUAAGAAUCCUUAACAUUAUAAAUCUAUGUUACGUUAUAUUAAUGAUUGUAAUGAUGAACUCAACAAGUAUCUAGAAAUCAAAAAGAUAUUCGAUACAAACAUUUUUCUAUGACAAUGAUUUAUACGUUAUAUAUGUUAUUAUUCUAAACGCUAACUAGACUUUUUAAUAUUUAAUUUUUUGACAUUUAAAACAACAUGUGAUUUUAAAUAUAAAUUUGAGAAACACGAAAGAUGAAAAUCUUCGAGAAUAAAGACAAAAUUCAAUGGAAAAUAAAUGGAAUUUUCUUCAUAAAUUAGAAAUCUAUUCUGUAAUUAUUAAUUCCUCAUAUCGUUCUUAUAAAAAUUGAAAAAGUCGCAAAAUAAUCAUUUAUAAAUAAAAAUAAAUUAAAUUGUUAUUAGAUAAAAUUGCAAUAUCAAAAUCACCUUGUAU